rnacentral:lncRNA from 1 species
GGGGAGGGCAUUAGGACCCAGGAGGUUAGGGGCCAGCUGCUCUCUCCCAGCAGAGAGUAGUUCCGGGGCAGCAGCCAGGAAUGGCAUAUAAGGCGUGGGAGUGAGCCAUUCACCUGUUGACGUCUUCCGGUGUGCGGCCACUCAAACUGAACCGAGCCCGACGGCGGUACGAAGGAGCACGGGAAAAAAACCCAGGUUGUCAGUCAGGCCAGACGUGCAGUUUGCGUGGGCCCCUCCCUUCAUCUUAAGUGCUCCACGGCAGCCACGCAGGUGCAGCCUCGACGCGGAUGCCAGAACUUGUAAUCACGUGAGAACCUGCAGACUCUGAAAAGACAGAGUGGAAGAAGGGGAUUGUAAACGAUUAACCCAUGUGCUUUUAGACUUGUCACUGUUUUUAUCUUCACUGCUCGCUUUUAUUUUUUAUCUUUUUAAUGUGAUGUCUUGGGGUGUUUUAACCCCUUUUAAUGCCUGGCACUUUUAAAACUUAGUUGACCUUUUAUCUAGUAGUUUUUAAACAGUAACCUGGUGCUGUGCAGGAUUGUGGGUUUUAUUUGCUGUGCUGUCCCCUCGUUUUUAUUGAGCAUGUUGUGUUUUAUUUGAGGGACAACUGUGUUGUUUUAAGUUACCCUGUCACAGCCCAGUUUCUUAAAAAAACUACUGUUGGUCCAGUGCCUUGUGUUUUAAUAAAUAUAUUUUAAAUACCAGCUACUGCCUCCUCCGGUUUAUUCUGGAGACCUGCUUUUAGUUGUGCAGCUAGCAUCCUUUCUGGCUACAAGGGAUUGCUGGCUGCUACACAUGGAUGGC